CCUACGGGAGACAGCAGUGAGGAAUCUUGGUCAAUGGACGAGAGUCUGAACCAGCCAAGUAGCGUGAAGGAUGACUGCCCUAUGGGUUGUAAACUUCGUUUAUAUGGGAAUAAAAUGUUCCACGUGUGUGAUUUUGUAUGUACCAUAUGAAUAAGGAUCGGCUAACUCCGUGCCAGCAGCCGCGGUAAUACGGUGGAUCCGAGCGUUAGCCGGAUUUGUUGGGUUUAAAGGGAGCGUAGGUCGUUUGUUAAGUCAGUUGUGAAAGUUUGCGGCUCAACCGUACAAUUGCAGUUGAAACUGGCAGUCUUGAGUACAGGAGAGGUGGGCGGAAUUCGUGGUGGAGCGGUGAAAUGCUUAGAUAUCACGAAGAACUCCGAUUGCGAAGGCAGUUCACUGGACUGCAACUGACACUGAGGCUCGAAAGUGUGGGUAUCAAACAGGAUUAGAUACCCUGGUAGUC
rnacentral:rRNA from 1 species